GUAAGUCUAUAAUAUAUUCUAUUCAUUAUCGAAAGGACGACGCGACGCCCGCGCACGCUUCUUCCCCCUCUCGUUCGCUUCUUGUUUACGUGAUUUUUGGGAUACGCGUAGAGUUUAUGAUAUUGAAACGAAAAAUUAUAUGAAUAUUAAUUAUUUUUGUAUGAAAAUAAAAUCUAACAAAUUAUCAAAAGUCGUAGAACAAAUGGUGUUACUUAUGAUGUUAGCUGUCUUGUCCUGCGAAGUUACUAGUGUUUUACAAGUAACCCUGUAUAAAUUAAAAAGAAUUGCAUGUUUCUAUGUAAUUGUAAAUACAGCGUAUGAACUUUCUAAUUGUCCAAUCUACUUUCAAUGCGUUAACAUUUUAUAAACUACUAGCAGUCCGCCCCGGCUUCGCCCGUGGUACAUGUUUACAUUUUCACUUCAUACGAACCAUCCUCGUCCUUCAGUGAAUAUUAUAAAAAAGAGAAUUAACGAAAUCGGUUCAGCCGUUCUCAAAUUAUGCGUUUACCAACACAUUUUGCGAUUCAUUUUUAUAUUACAGACUACAUUCUUAGGUAUGUUAAUUGCAACUCCAUACCUACGAGAAAGAUGUGGAAUCUGCUCUUUUUCUUGAUUAAUAGGUGAUUAAUUUGAUUUUAUUUUCAUUGCAGUUUUUAAAUUCUACGUUAAGUCUAUGCGGCGUUACAAAUUACAACCAAAAACAUUUACAGCAGAUCGUCCUUUCCUAUUUUACUUGCAAGCAAAAAUAAAUAUAAUAUUUUCAGGAGCUUACCUCAAUUAGAUAACGAGUUCCUCGACGAACAUAUUUGUAACGAUGUCUAUGAUAUUAUGAAUGAAAAUGAAAUAAACAUUGUACAUACAACAAA